rnacentral:rRNA from 1 species
AACGAACGCUGGCGGCAGGCUUAACACAUGCAAGUCGAACGCACCUUUCGGGGUGAGUGGCAGACGGGUGAGUAACGCGUGGGAAUCUACCCUUCUCUACGGGAUAGCUCCGGGAAACUGGAAUUAAUACCGUAUACGUCCUGAGGGAGAAAGAUUUAUCGGGGAAGGAUGAGCCCGCGUUGGAUUAGCUAGUUGGUGGGGUAAAGGCCUACCAAGGCGACGAUCCAUAGCUGGUCUAAGAGGAUGAUCGGCCACAUUGGGACUGAGACACGGCCCAAACUCCUACGGGAGGCAGCAGUGGGGAAUAUUGGACAAUGGGCGCAAGCCUGAUCCAGCCAUGCCGCGUGAGUGAUGAAGGCCCUAGGGUUGUAAAGCUCUUUCAGUGGGGACGAUAAUGACGGUACCCACAGAAGAAGCCCCGGCUAACUUCGUGCCAGCCGCCGCCGUAAGAC